GUCCCUACCCAACAGCAGGCUCACAGUCUAGAAGGUCAGUUUAAUAUCUGAUAUGUUUUCGAUGUGAAGACGCUGUGUUAAGUAGCUUUUUGGAGAAAGGAGGUGGGUUGGGAGCCUGCUGCGUCCCCGCCACGCAUCGGCCUGGUGUUGCAGUACUUCCUCGUAUUUAUUGAGCACUUACU